ensembl:lncRNA novel transcript
GGGGCGGUGCAUCACUCGGGUCCGCUCCACACCGUCGCCACUGCUGUGGUAGCCGGUUGGCCGAGGGGCCACGAUAACUGGUUGCCCGCAGUAGGAGCAGAAUUCGUUAACAUCUGCCAUGUAGUGGAGGUUCCAGAGAAAAAGUGAGAGAAGCUGAGUCUGCACCCUCAACAUGGAGGAAAUAAGCUCUCUUAGGACCAAGAACAGAGGACAGAGGAAGGACUCCAGCAUGAUGGGCACCAAGGGAUUUUGGUCCUUCUGAGAAAGAGGAGGGAGGUAUCUAUUCUGCAUAAAUUCAGAUGAGACAAUAAAAACAAUGAUUUCAAAGUUCCAGGUUUUACAAAAGGAGCCUGUGUUUGUGAAAACCUUCAGAGGAUGGAAACAGCAAAUACUGUUGUAGGGGAAGACAAUUGUUUACCUAAGAAAGUGUCCUGUAUUCAGAUUCUCCAGUUUCUAGUGACACUGGAUGCCUAUGGAUCACAGGGACUGUGAGAUAUGUCCUUAGGAGUAAAGUUUUGUUGUGACGUGUUAUAUUCAGUGUUCAAGUAUCCGUGGGUUGAACGAUACUUCUCUUUCUGUCUGUGAGCAUAAACUUGACUUCAGAAGAGAGCAUGGGGUAAAGACAAGCCUCUCUCCUUUCCCAUACUUGAGUAGUAGCAUAUGAAGUCUGGAAAGACAUAACUAGGUAAAAUAUUUUAUAUUACUGUAGUAGGGCUUUACCCCAUUUCAGAGCCUUCCUUUAUCUUUCUUGUUUUUAAUUCUGUAAUUCACGUCACACUAGUCUGAAUUGGUUUUCCUUCUCCAAAACUCCCUGGCCUAUAUCAUAAAUUUAACCCUUUAUAUGAAUUGCUUUACAUUGUUUUCCAGUUGUUUCAUAUCUUGUCUUGAUGCUAUCGAUUGUCAAAGACAGAACAAGGCUGGUUUCACAGUGGGCCUCUUUUCUCAAAAAUAUCCAUUCAUGGGAAUGAGAGAGAAGUUACAUAAUAGUUUUAAUGAAUAACAUUUUUGUAGUGAUCACCUUCAAAAUUUCAAAAUGCUUCUGUUUUUCAAAAAAUAAAGAUUGAUUUUGAAA